GAAAUGCGAUAAGUAAUGUGAAUUGCAGAAUUUAGUGAAUCAUCGAAUCUUUGAACGCACAUUGCGCCCUUUGGUAUUCCAGAGGGCAUGCCUGUUCGAGCGUCAUUACAACCUCAAGCUCUGCUUGGUAUUGAGUGUCACCAAGCAUGGUGUACCUAAAAUUCAGUGGCAGUGCCAUCGGCCUCCAGCGGAGUAAUCUUUCUCGCUGAGGAGGUUGGGGUAGGUGCUUGCCAACAAGCCCUAAUUUAUCAAUGGUUGACCUCGGAUCAGGUAGGGAUACCCGCUGAACUUAA
rnacentral:misc_RNA from 1 species